rnacentral:ncRNA from 1 species
GGGGUUGGUGUAUUUUUAAAUUAAUUCUUAAAAACUACAAUCAGCUCC